UGGGGAAUAUUGGACAAUGGGCGAAAGCCUGAUCCAGCCAUGCCGCGUGUGUGAAGAAGGUCUUCGGAUUGUAAAGCACUUUAAGUUGGGAGGAAGGGCAUUAACCUAAUACGUUAGUGUUUUGACGUUACCGACAGAAUAAGCACCGGCUAACUCUGAGCCAGCAGCCGCGGUAAUACAGAGGGGGCAAGCGUUAAUCGGAAUUACUGGGCGUAAAGCGCGCGUAGGUGGUUUGUUAAGUUGGAUGUGAAAGCCCCGGGCUCAACCUGGGAACUGCAUCCAAAACUGGCAAGCUAGAGUACGGUAGAGGGUGGUGGAAUUUCCUGUGUAGCGGUGAAAUGCGUAGAUAUAGGAAGGAACACCAGUGGCGAAGGCGACCACCUGGACUGAUACUGACACUGAGGUGCGAAAGCGUGGGGAGCAAACA
rnacentral:rRNA from 1 species